AGUCGAUGGAGGUGAACGAGAGCAGUCGUAGAGAUACAAACCAGCGUACGAGCUUAUUUGGAUAAAACACGGUGAUUCAGCCCAUUCAGUCGAAAUUUUUCAGAAGAAUCGGUCAGACACAUUCAGCUCAAUUCAGAUUUAAAAGUUAGAAACAAACAGUUUGAAUGGUUGAAUCGUUAUUCAAAGCCAUAGCGAAACAAAAAGCCCGUACUUGAAUUAUGAUAAUCAUUGUUUAGGUUGUAUUAGAGUCUUGAUUGGGUAUUUCUGUUAUUUUUUAUACCUCUUGUUUAUUACGGAAUAUUAAUUAAAUUAUUUAUAACUUGUUAGACCAUAA
rnacentral:lncRNA from 1 species